rnacentral:lncRNA from 1 species
CAAUCUCCUGCAAAUCAAAAUCCAAUUUAUUUAACAACCCAAACCGCCAAAUAACGUUACAAGGACAAAAGGUGAUCUUCUUACUUCUCCGAGCGCCGUCCGUCGACUACGCAGCGCCGUCCAACCACCCCUACCUUCGUUAAUCGGAUUUGUGUUGUCGGGUUUGUGGUUUUUGACAUUCUUUGCAUAGGAAUUAUGGGGUUUUCCUUUUUGAUUAUUUAAUUGAUUCUUACUUGUGGUUUCUGAAUUAAUUCUUAGUAUGAUGGUGAUUACAUGAACAUCAACCCUAAAUAAAACCUUGGAAUGGAUAAUUGGCCUUUGUUUCUCAAAAUUUUGUGGAGGAAUAAAAAAUCAAUCAUUAGACUUUGAAUUUAGAUGCGUUUCUUGUUCUCUUGCCUCAGAAGCCAGAAUUCCCGAUUCCGUGUGUUAUUCAGGACUACAUAAUAGGAAACUCAAACUAAUUUCAAAGACAAUUCCUCUGCAAAAUUAUACAGGAACCAGGAAUGAUAUAUAUGUUUGUUGAUGUUUCCAGAGCCAUGCUACACUUUUCAACUAUUGGAGAAAUCACCAAAUUCAUUUGCUGUUUAAUGUUGUUCACUUUGCAACUAUUUUUUUUCUCCAGAAACUUAAGAUUUUAAUAAUCUUGUUCUUUAAUGUUGUUAAAUUUAUCAUAUGAAAAACUAUGAUCCCUUCUCAUUUAUACUUUUUAGUUUUUUCCCUCCAACUAAUGAAGGUCAUAUUUAUUCUUUAUUUCUUUUCUUAUUCUGUUCAAUUGGCCCGACAUUUUGGUAUGAGUUCGUCUUUGAAAUUUCAUGUCAAAUUCAAGUAGAAGUGUGUCAAUUACCUUUACAUGAAUGCUAUUUGAAGUGUGAACUUGGAUUUUAAUUUUCGAACAAUGACUUCCCUUAAGUUUUAGAAACUUAUUCUAAUUGGUUGUUAUGGUUGCUGUUAAAUUUUAAUUUUAGGAUUGUGAGUUGCGAAGGUGGAAUUUGUCAUUUUAUAUUUUUUGCUCAAGUCCUACUUCUCAGGUAAGCAAUAAUUUGUCCUUGCUUAUUUAUUAAGAAAUGUUUGGAACAUGGCCAUCUUAUAUCAUUUUGGCCUUUUCCGCUUAUAUGAUUACAUUGAGGUAUUGUACCCUUGUCGGAUUAUAUUGACUUUUAUUAGCGUUUAAUCUUUGGACCAAUUGCACAGGCGCACAUAGUGAUUAUGUUGAAAAUUUUAAUUGUGAGAUGAUUGAAAUGUUUUAUUAUUA